rnacentral:rRNA from 1 species
AUUGCAUAUCAAUAAGCGGAGGAAAAGAAACCAACAGGGAUUGCCUUAGUAGCGGCGAGUGAAGCGGCAAAAGCUCAAAUUUGAAAUCUGGCUCUUUCAGAGUCCGAGUUGUAAUUUGAAGAAGGUAUCUUUGGGUCUGGCUCUUGUCUAUGUUUCUUGGAACAGAACGUCACAGAGGGUGAGAAUCCCGUGCGAUGAGAUGAUCCAGGCCUAUGUAAAGUUCCUUCGAAGAGUCGAGUUGUUUGGGAAUGCAGCUCUAAGUGGGUGGUAAAUUCCAUCUAAAGCUAAAUAUUGGCGAGAGACCGAUAGCGAACAAGUACAGUGAUGGAAAGAUGAAAAGAACUUUGAAAAGAGAGUGAAAAAGUACGUGAAAUUGUUGAAAGGGAAGGGCUUGAGAUCAGACUUGGUAUUUUGUAUGUUACUUCUUCGGGGGUGGCCUCUACAGUUUAUCGGGCCAGCAUCAGUUUGGGCGGUAGGAGAAUUGCGUUGGAAUGUGGCACGGCUUCGGUUGUGUGUUAUAGCCUUCGUCGAUACUGCCAGCCUAGACUGAGGACUGCGGUUUAUACCUAGGAUGUUGGCAUAAUGAUCUUAAGUCGCCCGUCUUGAAACACGGACCAAUC